UUGAGAGUUUGAUCCUGGCUCAGAACGAACGCUGGCGGCAGGCUUAACACAUGCAAGUCGAGCGGGCCCUUCGGGGUCAGCGGCGGACGGGUUAGUAACGCGUGGGAACGUGCCUUUUGCUUCGGAAUAGCCCUGGGAAACUGGGGGUAAUACCGGAUGUGCCCUGAGGGGGAAAGAUUUAUCGGCAAGAGAUCGGCCCGCGUCUGAUUAGGUAGUUGGUGUGGUAACGGCGCACCAAGCCGACGAUCGGUAGCUGGUUUGAGAGGAUGAUCAGCAACACUGGG
rnacentral:rRNA from 1 species